rnacentral:rRNA from 1 species
CCGCGACGGGUGAGUAACGCGUAUGCAACCUACCUAUCAGAGGGGAAUAACCCGGCGAAAGUCGGACUAAUAUCGCAUAAAACAGGGGUUCCACGUGGAAAUAUUUGUUAAAGAAUUAUCGCUGAUAGAUGGGCAUGCGUUCCAUUAGAUAGUUGGUGAGGUAACGGCUCACCAAGUCCACGAUGGAUAGGGGUUCUGAGAGGAAGGUCCCCCACACUGGUACUGAGACACGGACCAG